UACAGAGGGUGCACGCGUUAAUCGGAAUUACUGGGCGUAAAGCGCACGUAGGCGGUUUUUUAAGUCAGAUGUGAAAGCCCCGGGCUCAACCUGGGAAUUGCAUUUGAAACUGGGGAACUAGAGUGUGUGAGAGGGGAGUAGAAUUCCAAGUGUAGCGGUGAAAUGCGUAGAGAUUUGGAGGAAUACCAGUGGCGAAGGCGGCCCCCUGGCACAACACUGACGCUCAGGUGCGAAAGCGUGGGGAGCAAACAGG
rnacentral:rRNA from 1 species